CCUACGGGUGGCAGCAGUGGGGAAUAUUGGACAAUGGGCGAAAGCCUGAUCCAGCCAUGCCGCGUGUGUGAAGAAGGUCUUCGGGUUGUAAAGCACUUUCAGUGGGGAAGAAAGCCUUGGGGCUAAUACCCUCGAGGAAGGACAUCACCCACAGAAGAAGCACCGGCUAACUCCGUGCCAGCAGCCGCGGUAAUACGGAGGGUGCGAGCGUUAAUCGGAAUUACUGGGCGUAAAGCGCGCGUAGGCGGUCUGAUAAGCCGGUUGUGAAAGCCCCGGGCUCAACCUGGGAACGGCAUCCGGAACUGUCAGGCUAGAGUGCAGGAGAGGAAGGUAGAAUUCCCGGUGUAGCGGUGAAAUGCGUAGAGAUCGGGAGGAAUACCAGUGGCGAAGGCGGCCUUCUGGACUGACACUGACGCUGAGGUGCGAAAGCGUGGGUAGCAAACAGGAUUAGAUACCCGUGUAGUC
rnacentral:rRNA from 1 species